rnacentral:lncRNA from 1 species
CAGGUAAUCGCAGGCUACUCAAGUGUUGAUUCAAGAAAACAGAUAAAGGGUCAUUGGGUGCUAAGAAAACUUUGAGUGACAAUCCCGACACACCUUUCAAGUUCAAACUCUACUAAGAAAGGGAAGCUUUUCUUCUUUGAAACAUGAAAAUAAAACUAAAUGCAUCAAUUCGAAUAUCCAAGUAGAUCUCAACACGACUAACCUACAUAUUCAUCCUAUCUCGAUUUCUAAUUCAAACCAGCAUACAAGACACUAAUCAAAUUUGCGAAUGACGCGCAUCACUAAUGUCACGAUCCAAACUCCCGGUCGUGAUGGAGCCAAACACCCUGUAAGGAAAGCCGACCAUUUAAACAUUUCCCAGCCAAAUUAUUUACUUAGAUACCAAAUUUAAGAUAAAUUCUCAGUUUGAUAAUAAUAGAAAAUACUGCGAGAACGUAAUCAAAAGUAACAACAGCUCAAAGGAUCCGGCGUGACAAGUCAGAGUCUCUAGAUACAAUAGGACAGCAUCCUAAACAAGAAAAAUCUGGAUGCGGAAAUAAAAGAUAGAUAAGAGGAGAAAUUAGGUCCUGCGGACGCCAGCAACUACCUCGAUAUCUCCGGAACCGAACUAGGCAACAGCAGAUAAGCACAGGUAAGCCUCUGGGAUCCCUGCAUCUGCACACAAGGUGCAAGGAGUAGAGUGAGUACUUCAAACUCAGGGAGUAAUAGCAUUAAAUAACAACUGAAUCUAAGAAAUCCGGUAAGAACACUAUACAGUUCUAAUAUCAACAGUAACGAUAGUGAAUAAUGCUAAACAGGGUAGAGAAUCUGAUAAAUACUUCUCUUUCUGUCUGACUAGUUACUAAUACUGAUGCGGCGGGCAGCCCGAUCCAAUACCAUACAUAUAAUGUUGCAGCGUGAAGCCCGAUCCAAUAUAAUAUAAAUAAUGCUACGCGUGCAGCCCCAUGCAAUAAUAUAGUCGACUGCGCUCACUUGGGGUGUGUGCAGACUCCAGGAGGGCUCCUUUAGCCCAAGCGCUAUAAUAUUGCGGCGUACAGUCCGAUCCAUAUAAUAUUUCACUGCGGCGUGCAGUCCGAUCCAUAUAAUAUAUUUUUGCGGCGUGCAGUCUGAUCCAUAUAAUAUAUAUAAUAUUGCGGCGCCCAACCCGAUCCAAUAUAAUAUAUAUAAUGUUGGUGUGUGCAACCCGAUCCAAUAUAAGAUAUAAAAUGUUGCGGCGUGCAAACCGAUCCGGUAUAUAUAUCAUAUACCCUCAUUGCGGGGUCCUUGACCCCUCUCAAUCAAUAUAGACUUGGCCUCUUGGGCCCACUUAGCUAAGACAUGGUAUUCGACCAUAGGUAUUUCUCAUUUAGGGUGCAAGUUACUACGUCCAGUUUAUUUCAUGAUUUACAAUCAAAGUCGGGACAGAUGGUAUGUGUUCAAUAGGUAAAGUGAGGUCAAUCGGCUCAACAUGCUCCCUAGGAGUUCUAUGGAUCGGCACAAGGCCCCAAACAUGGCAACUAGCCCAAAUAUAUACAGGUACAAGCUCAGUCUUAGUCAAAAGUGCAGUAAGUCAUCAAUCGGGAUCGACCAAAUCCGAGUCCCCAGCAGAAAGAUCACCAUGCUCAUCAUAUGACGCAUGUUUUAUCUCAACGUAGCACCGCAUAGUGAAAAUACCGGGUUUCAAACCCUCAGUAUAUCAUUCAUAACCAUUACUCACCUCAAACCGGCCAAAAUCCUAGCUCACCUUGUGCUUUCCUUGCAAAUCAACCUCCUCGAGUACAGAAUUUGAUCAAAACCACAAGGAAUAUGUUAAUGGAACAUAACCCAAUAGAAAGAACUCGAAAAAUACCCAAAAACACGAAGUUGGCAAAACCCGAGCCCCGGGCCCACAUCUCAAAAUUCAAAAAUCUUUACACCAAAACGAUCCUUAUCACGACACGAGUCCAUACAUAUCAAAUUUACAAGAAUCGGAGUCCAUUUGACCCCUCAAUCAACACUUUAAGCUCACUUGGGUUUCAAGCCCUAACCACCAUUAUUUUUAACCUUAAAACCCUUGAAUUCUUAGUGUUUAAUCCAUGUUUUUACACUAUAAUGACAUACUCUAAGUCCAAGAAUCCAUACCUGAUGAUUUCCCCCAAAAUCCUCUUCAAAAUCGCUCCCAAACUCGCCUAAGUCCGAGGUCCAAAUGUUCUUCUCUUUUCAAACUUGUGAAAUCACUGCUCAUUAAACCCAGCACGUUUUCCGCUUCUGUGGUCAUAUAUCCGCCUAUGUAGCUCUCGCUUCUGCGGCCUCUCGACCGCUUUAGCGGUCCAAAUUAUUCUCCCAAGGUCCGCUUUUGCGGUCAACUACCACUUACGCAGUCACCGCCUAUGCGGUCUUCCUUCUGAACUCGCGAUCCAGUCCAACCUCCCAUUGGUCGCUUUUACAUCUCACCCGCCGCGUAUGCGGAACCGCUUAAGCGGCUCCUUUUUCGCAGACACGGAAAUAGCAGAAGCAGCACAUCCAAAAAUGGCAAAAACUCCUACAACCUCCGUUCAACCAUCCGGAAUUACGCCGAGGCCCCCCGGGCCUAAACCAAAAACACAGAUAUGAUCUAAUACCUUAUUCAAACUUGCUCGAGCCAUAAAACACUAACAUUAACACCGAAAAUCACCAAAUUCCUCCAAUCCAAGCCUAAGUUUCUUAAGAACUUCCGAAAUGCACAUGCAACCAAAAGUCCACCAAACAACGUCCGAAUGACCUGAAAUUUCUCACACAUAUACAAAUUCACCUAACGGAGCUACUGCAAUUCUCGGAAUCCCGUUCCGAACCUCCGAUUAAAAUCUCGCAUGCCAACCUGAUUCUCCGAAGUUCUAACUUCGCCAAAGUAGGCUAACAUUCACACCGAACCUCCAAAUUAACUUCUGUUUUCCCUCUUACAUCAUAAAUCAUCCCCCAAAACUGGUCGAAUCAUCUAAAAUCCAUUCUGAGCCCUCUAUCUCACAACUCAACGUCCGGUUGACUUUUCCAACUUAAGCCUUCCUUAAAGAGACUAUUUGUCUCAUUUAUAUCAAAAUUCAAACCAAAACACUUCAAACUCACCAAACACAUAUAAUGAAACAUGGGGAAGCAUAAAACAGGGAAACGAGGCGGAAAUACAAGAGAUGGCGGGUCGGGUCAUCACAACUGAUCCAUCAGUUACACAACAAACAAAGUUCAGAAACAUAGUAAGAUCGAGCUAAGCCAACAACGAACUUAACUUCCAAACAGAAACACAAUUUAUAUCAAAGCAAAACAAAGUAUCAAUUCCAAAUAAGUCGCGGCUAAACGGACUCUUUAACAUAUUGCAAACUAACUAGGCUCUCAUCAUAUUUUCAAUAACACCAAAGCAGAACAAGAGAAACAAACGAACCUGGAAAUUAAGCUUUCAAUUAAUGUUGUCGGUGUCGAUUACAACAAAAGAAGAUUCAACGAUGAACUUGAGAGCUAAAAACUGCUACUGAAGAUCCGAAAUCAACAAUGAAGCAACGAAGCAGGAAAACAGCUCAAGGAAUGCGAACACGAACACCUCGACUGACGAACAAAACUUCAGCACUCAACAACGAUUCAAUCGAAUUCCAUGAAGAAAAAUGAAAACAGAAGCUGGAAGAUGAUUUUUGUUCAUUUGUUUUUGUUUUUUUAAUCUCUGGACGUGAAAAACAAAAACGAAAGUGAUCCGAAGAAAACCUCAAGAAUCCCAAUUUUCAAAUCCGAAAUUUUAUCCUCAAACCCUUUCUCCAAGUUUUUUUCAAUAUCUGUCUAGUCCCAAAUAUAUAGUCCUCUCUCGAAGCUUCUUUUAUCCCUCUGCAAGAAAUCACAAAAACCCUUCAAAAAUCUAAAAAACCCCAAAAUUCCAAAAAUCUCCUUCUUUUUGGUAAAAAUCUGGGCAAAUGGAAAGGUAUGAUUAAUUCUCAUUAAUCAUAUCCUACCCUUCGUCCAUCAUCUACCGUUGAAAGAGAUUCACGUGUGAUAUAGCAACACAAAACACGGACCAAAAUCGGUUAUAUGUCAGGCCAGGUGGAAGAAAGAGAGAAGGAAAAGGGGGACCAUGAGGGAACCAUGAGUGAUCUCGACGGGUUUGGACGAGUUCCGGCGAGUUUGGGAUGUUGUUGAUGCGGGCGGAGCUGGGGUGGGGGCGGUUGCUUUUGGUGCGGUAA